UACCAGCUCUCCGAGUGGUAGGGAUGUUUAUUGGGCUUAAAGCGUCCGUAGCCGGCUUAGCAAGUCUCCUGUUAAAUUCAGCGACCUAAUCGUUGAGCCGCGGGAGAUACUAUUAGGCUAGGAGGCGGGAGAGGUCAACGGUACUUCCGGGGUAGGGGUGAAAUCCUAUAAUCCCGGGAGGACCACCAGUGGCGAAGGCUGUUGACUAGAACGCGCUCGACGGUGAGGGACGAAAGCUGGGGGAGCGAACCGGAUUAGAUACCCGGGUGGUCCCAGCUGUAAACGAUGCAGGCUAGGUGUUUGGACGGCCACGUGCCGUUCUAGUGCCGCAGGGAAGCCGUUAAGCCUGCCGCCUGGGGAGUACGGCCGCAAGGCUGAAACUUAAAGGAAUUGGCGGGGGAGCACCACAAGGGGUGAAGCUUGCGGUUU
rnacentral:rRNA from 1 species